AUGAACGCUAGCGACAGGCUUAACACAUGCAAGUCGAGGGGCAGCGGGGUGUAGCAAUACACCGCCGGCGACCGGCGCACGGGUGAGUAACGCGUAUGCAACUUGCCUAUCAGAGGGGGAUAACCCGGCGAAAGUCGGACUAAUACCGCAUGAAGCAGGGAUCCCGCAUGGGAAUAUUUGCUAAAGAUUCAUCGCUGAUAGAUAGGCAUGCGUUCCAUUAGGCAGUUGGCGGGGUAACGGCCCACCAAACCGACGAUGGAUAGGGGUUCUGAGAGGAAGGUCCCCCACAUUGGUACUGAGACACGGACCAAACUCCUACGGGAGGCAGCAGUGAGGAAUAUUGGUCAAUGGGCGUAAGCCUGAACCAGCCAAGUCGCGUGAGGGAUGAAGGUUCUAUGGAUCGUAAACCUCUUUUAUAAGGGAAUAAAGUGCGGGACGUGUCCCGUUUUGUAUGUACCUUAUGAAUAAGGAUCGGCUAACUCCGUGCCAGCAGCCGCGGUAAUACGGAGGAUCCGAGCGUUAUCCGGAUUUAUUGGGUUUAAAGGGUGCGUAGGCGGCCUUUUAAGUCAGCGGUGAAAGUCUGUGGCUCAACCAUAGAAUUGCCGUUGAAACUGGGGGGCUUGAGUAUGUUUGAGGCAGGCGGAAUGCGUGGUGUAGCGGUGAAAUGCAUAGAUAUCACGCAGAACCCCGAUUGCGAAGGCAGCCUGCCAAGCCAUUACUGACGCUGAUGCACGAAAGCGUGGGGAUCAAACAGGAUUAGAUACCCUGGUAGUCCACGCAGUAAACGAUGAUCACUAGCUGUUUGCGAUACACUGUAAGCGGCACAGCGAAAGCGUUAAGUGAUCCACCUGGGGAGUACGCCGGCAACGGUGAAACUCAAAGGAAUUGACGGGGGCCCGCACAAGCGGAGGAACAUGUGGUUUAAUUCGAUGAUACGCGAGGAACCUUACCCGGGUUUGAACGCAUUCGGACCGAGGUGGAAACACCUUUUCUAGCAAUAGCCGUUUGCGAGGUGCUGCAUGGUUGUCGUCAGCUCGUGCCGUGAGGUGUCGGCUUAAGUGCCAUAACGAGCGCAACCCUUGCCACUAGUUACUAACAGGUUAGGCUGAGGACUCUGGUGGGACUGCCAGCGUAAGCUGCGAGGAAGGCGGGGAUGACGUCAAAUCAGCACGGCCCUUACAUCCGGGGCGACACACGUGUUACAAUGGCGUGGACAAAGGGAGGCCACCUGGCGACAGGGAGCGAAUCCCCAAACCACGUCUCAGUUCGGAUCGGAGUCUGCAACCCGACUCCGUGAAGCUGGAUUCGCUAGUAAUCGCGCAUCAGCCAUGGCGCGGUGAAUACGUUCCCGGGCCUUGUACACACCGCCCGUCAAGCCAUGGGAGCCGGGGGUACCUGAAGUCCGUAACCGCGAGGAUCGGCCUAGGGUAAAACUGGUGACUGGGGCU
rnacentral:rRNA from 1 species